rnacentral:tRNA from 1 species
UAUAGCUCAGUGGCAAAGUGCUUGCCUAGCAUGCAUGAAGCACUGGGUUCGAUUCUCAGUA